rnacentral:rRNA from 1 species
GACGAACGCUGGCGGCGUGCUUAACACAUGCAAGUCGAACAAAGUGGCGAACGGGUGAGUAACGCGUAAUCAACCUGCCCUUCAGAGGGGGACAACAGUUGGAAACGACUGCUAAUACCGCAUACUGAAGGAGGGGAUUGCGUCUGAUUAGCUAGUUGGAGGGGUGACGGCCCACCAAGGCGAUGAUCAGUAGACGGGUGGAGGGGAGGAACGGCCCAAGUGGGACUGGGAAACGGCCCAGAAUCCUACGGGAGGCAGCAGUGGGGAAUCUUUCGCAAUGGACGAAAGUCUGACGGAGCAACGGCGGGUGAGUGAUGAAGGGCUUCGGGUUGUAAAGCUAUGUUAAUCGGGACGCGGUACCGGAAUAGAAAGCCACGGCUAACUACGUGCCAGCAGCCGCGGUAAUAC